rnacentral:rRNA from 1 species
GACGAACGCUGGCGGCGUGCUUAACACAUGCAAGUCGAACGGAAAGGCCCUGCUUUUGUGGGGUGCUCGAGUGGCGAACGGGUGAGUAACACGUGAGUAACCUGCCCUUGACUUUGAGAUAACUUCAGGAAACUGGGGCUAAUACCGGAUAGGAGCUCCUGCUGCAUGGUGGGGGUUUGAAAGUUUCGGCGGUUGGGGAUGGACUCGCGGCUUAUCAGCUUGUUGGUGGGGUAGUGGCUUACCAAGGCUUUGACGGGUAGCCGGCCUGAGAGGGUGACCGGCCACAUUGGGACUGAGAUACGGCCCAGACUCCUACGUGAGGCAGCAGUGGAGAAUAUUGCACAAUGGGCGGAAGCCUGAUGCAGCAACGCCGCGUGCGGGAUGACGGCCUUCGGGUUGGAAACCGCUUUCGCCUGUGACGAAGCGUGAGUGACGGUAAUGGGUAAAGAAGCACCGGCUAACUACGUG